rnacentral:rRNA from 1 species
AUACGGAGGAUGCGAGCGUUAUCCGGAUUUAUUGGGCUUAAAGGGAGCGUAGGCGGGAGCUUAAGUCAGCGGUUAAAUGGUGCGGCUCAACCGUGGCCUGCCGUUGGAACUGGGUUUCUUGAGAGUGCAAGAGGCGGAUGGAAUUCCUGGUGUAGCGGUGAAAUGCUUAGAUAUCAUGAAGAACUCCGAUUGCGAAGUCAGUCCGCUGGGGCACGUCUGACGCUGAUGCUCGAAGGUGCGGGAAUCAAACAGGAUUAGAUACCCUGGUAGUCCGCACGGUAAACGAUGAUUACCCGCUGUCGGCGGUAGACAGUCGGCGGCCAAGCGAAAGCGAUAAGUAAUCCACCUGGGGAGUACGCCGGCAACGGUGAAACUCAAAUGAAUUGACGGGG